rnacentral:misc_RNA from 1 species
UCAAACCAUCAAGCUUGGCUUGUCGUUGGGCCCUUUGUCACCUGGUGAUAGGUCCAAAAGAUAAUGACUGGUGUCGUAAAGACUCUAUAUGCAACGAGCUUAGAACAGCACGCAUCUAGUAGUUAUAUGGCCCGGUUCUCAACCCUUUAUUUCUCAA